rnacentral:rRNA from 1 species
UACGGGGGGAGCAAGCGUUGUUCGGAUUUACUGGGCGUAAAGGGCGCGUAGGCGGCCACCGCAAGUCGGUUGUGAAAUCUCCGGGCUUAACCCGGAAAGGUCAAUCGAUACUGCGGGGCUAGAGUGCAGAAGGGGCAACUGGAAUUCUCGGUGUAGCGGUGAAAUGCGUAGAUAUCGAGAGGAACACCUGCGGCGAAAGCGCUCUACUGGGCCAUAACUGACACUGAGGGACGAAAGCUAGGGGAGCGAAAGGG